GAUGAACGCUGGCGGCGUGCCUAAUACAUGCAAGUCGAGCGAAUGGAUUGAGAGCUUGCUCUUAUGAAGUUAGCGGCGGACGGGUGAGUAACGCGUGGGUAACCUGCCCAUAAGACUGGGAUAACUCCGGGAAACCGGGGCUAAUACCGGAUAAUAUUUUGAACUGCAUGGUUCAAAAUUGAAAGGCGGCUUCGGCUGUCACUUAUGGAUGGACCCGCGUCGCAUUAGCUAGUUGGUGAGGUAACGGCUCACCAAGGCAACGAUGCGUAGCCGACCUGGGAGGGUGCUCAGCACCACUGGGACUGAGACACGGCCCAGAAUCCUACGGGAGGCAGCGGUAGGGAAUCUUCCGCAAUGGACGAAAGUCUGACGGAGAAACGCCGCGUGAGUGAUGAAGGCUUUCGGGUCGUAAAACUCUGUUGUUAGGGAAGAACAAGUGCUAGUUGAAUAAGCUGGCACCUUGACGGUACCUAACCAGAAAGCCACGGCUAACUACGUGCCAGCCGCCGCCGUAA
rnacentral:rRNA from 1 species